AACGCGAAGAACCUUACCCACCUUUGACAUGUACGGAAUUCGCCAGAGAUGGCUUAGUGCUCGAAAGAGAACCGUAACACAGGUGCUGCAUGGCUGUCGUCAGCUCGUGUCGUGAGAUGUUGGGUUAAGUCCCGCAACGAGCGCAACCCUUGUCAUUAGUUGCUACAUUCAGUUGGGCACUCUAAUGAGACUGCCGGUGACAAACCGGAGGAAGGUGGGGAUGACGUCAAGUCCUCAUGGCCCUUAUAGGUGGGGCUACACACGUCAUACAAUGGCUGGUACAAAGGGUUGCCAACCCGCGAGGGGGAGCUAAUCCCAUAAAACCAGUCGUAGUCCGGAUCGCAGUCUGCAACUCGACUGCGUGAAGUCGGAAUCGCUAGUAAUCGUGGAUCAGAAUGUCACGGUGAAUACGUUCCCGGGCCUUGUACACACCG
rnacentral:rRNA from 1 species